rnacentral:rRNA from 1 species
GACGAACGCUGGCGGCGUGCUUAACACAUGCAAGUCGAGCGGUAAGGCCCUUUCGGGGGUACACGAGCGGCGAACGGGUGAGUAACACGUGGGUGACCUGCCCUCAGCUCUGGGAUAAGCCUGGGAAACUGGGUCUAAUACCGGAUAUGACUCCAUGACGCAUGUUGUGGGGUGGAAAGCCUUGUGCGGCUGAGGAUGGGCCCGCGGCCUAUCAGCUUGUUGGUGGGGCGANGGCCUACCAAGGCGACGACGGGUAGCCGGCCUGAGAGGGCGACCGGCCACACUGGGACUGAGACACGGCCCAGACUCCUACGGGAGGCAGCAGUGGGGAAUCUUGCGCAAUGGGCGAAAGCCUGACGCAGCGACGCCGCGUGAGGGAUGACGGCCU